rnacentral:rRNA from 1 species
AGAGUUUGAUCCUGGCUCAGGACGAACGCUGGCGGCGUGCCUAAUACAUGCAAGUCGAGCGAAUGACGAGAAGCUUGCUUCUCUGAUUUAGCGGCGGACGGGUGAGUAACACGUGGGCAACCUGCCCUACAGUUUGGGAUAACUCCGGGAAACCGGGGCUAAUACCGAAUAAUCCUUCGAAUCACAUGUUUUGAAGUUGAAAGGCGCUUCGGCGUCACUGUAGGAUGGGCCCGCGGUGCAUUAGCUAGUUGGUGGGGUAACGGCCUACCAAGGCAACGAUGCAUAGCCGACCUGAGAGGGUGAUCGGCCACAUUGGGACUGAGACACGGCCCAAACUCCUACGGGAGGCAGCAGUAGGGAAUCUUCCACAAUGGACGAAAGUCUGAUGGAGCAACGCCGCGUGAGUGAUGAAGGUUUUCGGAUCGUAAAACUCUGUUGUAAGGGAAGAACAAGUACGUUAGGAAAUGAACGUACCUUGACGGUACCUUAUUAGAAAGCCACGGCUAACUACGUGCCAGCAGCCGCGGUAAUACGUAGGUGGCAAGCGUUGUCCGGAUUUAUUGGGCGUAAAGCGCGCGCAGGUGGUUUCUUAAGUCUGAUGUGAAAGCCCACGGCUCAACCGUGGAGGGUCAUUGGAAACUGGGGAACUUGAGUGCAGAAGAGGAUAGUGGAAUUCCAAGUGUAGCGGUGAAAUGCGUAGAGAUUUGGAGGAACACCAGUGGCGAAGGCGACUGUCUGGUCUGUAACUGACACUGAGGCGCGAAAGCGUGGGGAGCAAACAGGAUUAGAUACCCUGGUAGUCCACGCCGUAAACG